rnacentral:ncRNA from 1 species
AAACAUAAGAGUUUGAUCCUGGCUCAGGACGAACGCUGGCGGCGUGCCUAACACAUGCAAGUCGAGCGGAGAUAUCAAGGAGCAAUCUGAGGUA